AGCGUACACGGUGGAUGCCCUGGCAGUCAGAGGCGAUGAAGGACGUGCUAAUCUGCGAUAAGCGUCGGUGAGGUGAUAUGAACCGUUAUAACCGGCGAUUUCCGAAUGGGGAAACCCAGUGUGUUUCGACACACUAUCAUUAACUGAAUCCAUAGGUUAAUGAGGCGAACCGGGGGAACUGAAACAUCUAAGUACCCCGAGGAAAAGAAAUCAACCGAGAUUCCCCCAGUAGCGGCGAGCGAACGGGGAGGAGCCCAGAGCCUGAAUCAGUGUGUGUGUUAGUGGAAGCGUCUGGAAAGGCGCGCGAUACAGGGUGACAGCCCCGUACACAAAAAUGCACAUACUGUGAGCUCGAUGAGUAGGGCGGGACACGUGGUAUCCUGUCUGAAUAUGGGGGGACCAUCCUCCAAGGCUAAAUACUCCUGACUGACCGAUAGUGAACCAGUACCGUGAGGGAAAGGCGAAAAGAACCCCGGCGAGGGGAGUGAAAAAGAACCUGAAACCGUGUACGUACAAGCAGUGGGAGCCUCUUAAUGGGGUGACUGCGUACCUUUUGUAUAAUGGGUCAGCGACUUAUAUUCUGUAGCAAGGUUAACCGAAUAGGGGAGCCGAAGGGAAACCGAGUCUUAACUGGGCGUUAAGUUGCAGGGUAUAGACCCGAAACCCGGUGAUCUAGCCAUGGGCAGGUUGAAGGUUGGGUAACACUAACUGGAGGACCGAACCGACUAAUGUUGAAAAAUUAGCGGAUGACUUGUGGCUGGGGGUGAAAGGCCAAUCAAACCGGGAGAUAGCUGGUUCUCCCCGAAAGCUAUUUAGGUAGCGCCUCGUGAAUUCAUCUCCGGGGGUAGAGCACUGUUUCGGCAAGGGGGUCAUCCCGACUUACCAACCCGAUGCAAACUGCGAAUACCGGAGAAUGUUAUCACGGGAGACACACGGCGGGUGCUAACGUCCGUCGUGAAGAGGGAAACAACCCAGACCGCCAGCUAAGGUCCCAAAGUCAUGGUUAAGUGGGAAACGAUGUGGGAAGGCCCAGACAGCCAGGAUGUUGGCUUAGAAGCAGCCAUCAUUUAAAGAAAGCGUAAUAGCUCACUGGUCGAGUCGGCCUGCGCGGAAGAUGUAACGGGGCUAAACCAUGCACCGAAGCUGCGGCAGCGACACUAUGUGUUGUUGGGUAGGGGAGCGUUCUGUAAGCCUGUGAAGGUGGCCUGUGAGGGUUGCUGGAGGUAUCAGAAGUGCGAAUGCUGACAUAAGUAACGAUAAAGCGGGUGAAAAGCCCGCUCGCCGGAAGACCAAGGGUUCCUGUCCAACGUUAAUCGGGGCAGGGUGAGUCGACCCCUAAGGCGAGGCCGAAAGGCGUAGUCGAUGGGAAACAGGUUAAUAUUCCUGUACUUGGUGUUACUGCGAAGGGGGGACGGAGAAGGCUAUGUUGGCCGGGCGACGGUUGUCCCGGUUUAAGCGUGUAGGCUGGUUUUCCAGGCAAAUCCGGAAAAUCAAGGCUGAGGCGUGAUGACGAGGCACUACGGUGCUGAAGCAACAAAUGCCCUGCUUCCAGGAAAAGCCUCUAAGCAUCAGGUAACAUCAAAUCGUACCCCAAACCGACACAGGUGGUCAGGUAGAGAAUACCAAGGCGCUUGAGAGAACUCGGGUGAAGGAACUAGGCAAAAUGGUGCCGUAACUUCGGGAGAAGGCACGCUGAUAUGUAGGUGAAGCGACUUGCUCGUGGAGCUGAAAUCAGUCGAAGAUACCAGCUGGCUGCAACUGUUUAUUAAAAACACAGCACUGUGCAAACACGAAAGUGGACGUAUACGGUGUGACGCCUGCCCGGUGCCGGAAGGUUAAUUGAUGGGGUUAGCGGCAACGCGAAGCUCUUGAUCGAAGCCCCGGUAAACGGCGGCCGUAACUAUAACGGUCCUAAGGUAGCGAAAUUCCUUGUCGGGUAAGUUCCGACCUGCACGAAUGGCGUAAUGAUGGCCAGGCUGUCUCCACCCGAGACUCAGUGAAAUUGAACUCGCUGUGAAGAUGCAGUGUACCCGCGGCAAGACGGAAAGACCCCGUGAACCUUUACUAUAGCUUGACACUGAACAUUGAGCCUUGAUGUGUAGGAUAGGUGGGAGGCUUUGAAGUGUGGACGCCAGUCUGCAUGGAGCCGACCUUGAAAUACCACCCUUUAAUGUUUGAUGUUCUAACGUGGGCCCGUAAUCCGGGUUGCGGACAGUGUCUGGUGGGUAGUUUGACUGGGGCGGUCUCCUCCUAAAGAGUAACGGAGGAGCACGAAGGUUGGCUAAUCCUGGUCGGACAUCAGGAGGUUAGUGCAAUGGCAUAAGCCAGCUUGACUGCGAGCGUGACGGCGCGAGCAGGUGCGAAAGCAGGUCAUAGUGAUCCGGUGGUUCUGAAUGGAAGGGCCAUCGCUCAACGGAUAAAAGGUACUCCGGGGAUAACAGGCUGAUACCGCCCAAGAGUUCAUAUCGACGGCGGUGUUUGGCACCUCGAUGUCGGCUCAUCACAUCCUGGGGCUGAAGUAGGUCCCAAGGGUAUGGCUGUUCGCCAUUUAAAGUGGUACGCGAGCUGGGUUUAGAACGUCGUGAGACAGUUCGGUCCCUAUCUGCCGUGGGCGCUGGAGAACUGAGGGGGGCUGCUCCUAGUACGAGAGGACCGGAGUGGACGCAUCACUGGUGUUCGGGUUGUCAUGCCAAUGGCACUGCCCGGUAGCUAAAUGCGGAAGAGAUAAGUGCUGAAAGCAUCUAAGCACGAAACUUGCCCCGAGAUGAGUUCU
rnacentral:rRNA from 1 species